rnacentral:lncRNA from 1 species
UCCCCACACGACGCUCUUCCGAUCUCCUCAAGAGUAUAUAUAUAUAUAUAUAUAUAUAUAUAAGACAAGUGAGUGUAUGUAUAUAUGUAUUGAGCACCGUUUUUAAAAAAAUUAGACAAGUGAACUUGGUUUUAUAAAGUACUCCCUCCGUUAAUUUUUACUUGGCAUAUAUACUAAAAAUAGAUUUCCAUUUUUACUUAUCAUUUUAUGCAUAUCAAGAGAAGAAUAAAAGAAAAUUUCUGUUAUACGCACAAAAUUUGUUACUCAUAUUAAAUUAUUUUCACAAAUCCAAUAUGAUAUGCAUUAAUUAAUAUGUGAAUCAUAAUAAAUAGCAUUUAUUAUUUUAUUAGGGGCGUGAAACAUCAAUACAUACCAAGUAAAAGUGAACGAAAGGAAUACAAAUAUCUGUAUCAAUUUAACGUUGAUUGCAUCACAACUAAAAUGAGAGAACCUAUAAUAAACAUACUUCCUCCGUCCCAACUUUACAGAUACCUUUUUUUAGUCAGUCCCCUUUCUAUAUUUGGUGAUAAUUUAAAUUUGGAUUCUUUUUACCCUUAAUAAAAUGAUUUCUAGCCACAUAAGUUUCUAUAAUUUGUUUUAUAUCACCAGUUUCAAAAAUCUUUCUUUAUUUCAUAAAUUUCAUGUCCAAUCAACACCGUUUCAUAUAAAUUAGGAUGGAGGGAGUAUAAUUUAUGUGGGAAAAAUAAAUAAUAACUUAGAUUAUAGAUAUAUUUGUGUGACUAGCUAAUAAAUAGAGAAUUAUAAUUCGGAAAACAUAAACUAAGAUUGGUAGAAAACUAUUUAGAGGAAGAUAUUAAGUUAUUACAAAUUAAUAUAAAAAUAAGUAAACAAAUUUACCAAUACUAAGAAAUAAUUAUAUAAAUAAUAUGAUAUGUAUAGAGAAAUAAUAAUUUUGGGGACCUUAAAGUUUUGGGGCCUAAAGAAAAUGCUUCACGUGCUUUAAAGUCUGGCCGCUUCCGGCAACAACAAUAACAAUCCAGUAUAAUCCCACUUAGUAGGGUUUAGGGAGGGUAGUAUGUACGCAGACGUUACCCCUAUCCUGGAAUAGAGAGGCUGUUUCCAAAUAGACCCCCGGCAUUCUUCCGUCCAAGAAUUUCCCACCUUGCUCUUGGGGAGACUCGAACUCACAACCGCUCCUGACAACCUGAUUAAAAAAAAAAGAUUCAAAAGUUUGUCUUGUUUCGCAGUUGUCAUCUAAUGAAAAAUCAAGUAAACAAAACGUCAAUGAGCCCAAGUUGGACGAACUUAAUUGAACUCACAUGCAGACAACGAUUUUCCUGAAGAAGUCACGUAUGUUGAAGAUCCAAAGACUUCAUUUCUCCAAAAGGAACAAAGUCGUCUAGAAAUUCAUCAAAGAUUUUGUAUUAUAAUGGAGGGGUAUAUUAUAGGAAUGAUCAUCAUAUUUCUCUCUUCUCUACUUUUUGUUAUAAAAAUAGGCAACAACAAGAAGAAGAAACAUAGACAGUGUCCUGCAAGGAUCGAUAUAAGAAAAAGAAAUAGAGCUUCAAACUUAUGAUUCUGGUGGCAGCGAAGGAGAUAUGCAUGGGAACGGCAAUGUGUUAUUGCUGGAGCUUCUGCCACGGCAUCUCUGACCAGCAUAGCUAUUGAUUUAAUUAGUGAUGGUUAUCAUGGUGAUGGUGGUGGAGGAGGUGCCGAUGGUUGAGGCAGUGGCGAUCGUGGUGGUGAAAAUUGAAUAGGUUAAAUUGUAGCUUCUUACAUAGAAGUAAAUAAUUUUAUUUUAUAAAAUUAAAUUUCCUAUUUUACGCUCCUCUUUUUGGUAGAAAAUUUGUAUUUUUGCGGAAUCUCGGAUUCUAAGAACUCCUUGUUACCUGAGAAAUUCAGACAUUUUCUUUUGGUAAGUAAAAUAUAUUUUAUUUGCCAAAGAAAUAUGUACAAGUGAAAGAAAAUAUGGAUCGGACCCCAAUAUCAAACUUCCUAACUCCUCAAUUUGGCUAAGGAUAGAAAUUAAGAGCCUCUAACUUCUUUUUGGUCUGAUGGUAACCAACCCUCACUUACAACCGAGAGGUUGUGAGUUUGAGUCUCCCCAGGAGCAAAUUCUGGAGAUUUAUGCCGGGGGUCUAUUUGGAAACAGCCUCUCUACCCCUGGGUAGGGGUAAGGCUGCGUACACACUACCCUCCCUAGACACCACUGAGUGGUAUUGUACUGGGUCGUACUUUUUUAAAGGCAGAGAGAAACGGUUGUUGAUUCCUUGAUGUCUUAUUUUAAACUGCAAUUAUUAGUAAUCUCACUUUAAGGUCUUGUUGAUUCCUUAUUGCUUUUACGUCUCUUUUUAAACUACAAUUAUUAGAAAUCUCACUUUAAGGUCUGCUUUAUGAUUCUUUCAAGUAAUUAUAUCACAGUUUGCAUCUUUUUUCUAAUCUACAUUAGGAUAAGUUUGUAAAAUUAUUAGUAGCAAAUAACGAUCUUUUCUUCUUUUACUUUGCAUCGGGUUAACUUAUUGAAGGUUAUGAGUGUUGGAUUCUACCCUGAGAUUAUAGGUGAGGAAUCACUUUGGAUUUUUUAUGCCCAAAACUUAGGUUAAAAAUUUUCCUACUAAAUGGCAAGCCUCCUGGGAAUAUCCAUCAGUUUGGUCUCGACCUCCAUUGUUUCGUGACGAAUAAUGGCAGGCUGCUUGUUCUUUUCUCUCAAUAAAAAGCCACAUAUUAUUUUACUAAGAAGAAGUGUCAUAUGUUAAUCACUUAAUCCAUACAAUUCUGUAAGAGCCAAUUUACUAAAUUUAGUACGAUCACAAUCAGAUUAUUCCUCCCAUCCCUUAUUUCACGUUUUCUUUUCUAAAAUGCAAUGUAUAUUCCUAAAUUUAGGUCUCUUGGUCCUACAGAGCUGCCUUGAUCCGUUUUUGGUGAUUGUCUUUUCUUUGCUAAUUUACUCUUCAUGGGUUCCCUACCGACAACAACAACAAUCCAGUAUAAUCUCAUUUUGUGGGAUCUGGAGAGGAUAGUGUGUACGCAGACCUUACUCGUACCCUUGGGUAGAGAAGCUGUUUCCAAAUAGACCCCUCCCCCCCCAUCCUUCCCUCCAAGAACUUCCCACCUUACUCUUGGGGAGACUCGAGCUCACAACCUCUCGAUUGGAAGUGUGACUGCUUACCUCUUGAAUAAUUAAUCUGAUAAGCACAUCAAUUGGUUUAUUCUUCCCUAGCCUCGUGUUUCUUUCUAGCCAUAUAUAAUAAAUACAAGCAGCUACAAACAUUGCACCAGCUGAAUUCUUUUUUAACAUUUGCCUCUACCCAUUGUAGUUCUUGUUGCCAGGUGAAGACUUGUCUGAAUAUGCCUUGCAAUUCCAAAAGCUUACUCUAAACACUAGCAGAGACAACAUAGCUAAAAACAAGUGAUCUAUAGAUUCAUCUUCAUCAUUAUAUAAAGGACAUAUUCGUCAUUUGUAAUUCCCCAAGCAGCUAACCUAUCCCUUGUGAAUCUCUUCUGAAUAGCCAAAGUCAGUACAAAUUCAGACUUUUGCUAGUAAGUUUUAUUUGUUUCUUGUUUUAAAAGUUCAACGGGGUUAGUAUAUGGUAAAAUAGGUCAGUUUGUUGUUACAACUGGAAUAAAUGUAAGAUAUGUGAUUUCUACAUAUAUUGAUUAUCUUUAUAAAAAAAACGUCUUUUUCUAUGAGCUGAUCUCUUACACUAUAUUUGGAUGGUCCUUACCCAUGAUUUCAUAAUGUACAAUAUUAUAUUAUAUAAUAUUUUAUUAUGUUGUAUUGCACUGUAUUAAUGAAUAUAAUAUUUAAAUAGGUCAUUUUAUUUUUUGUGGUUUAAUAAUAUUAUUAUUGUUUGAAAUAAGUAACCACAUUAAAGAUACCAAGCCUAUAGUUGUAACAAUUGAGCUUUUUUAUAAUUAUAUAAUAAUGAAGUUACAACGUGUUUACAACAUCAUACAAUAUAAUUUUAAAAAUAAUAUAAACAAAUAUGGAAUCCAUGAAAACAAUAAAACAAUGAAUAAAUGGAUGUGGGACCUACCUAUAAAAUAAAAGAAAAAAAAAGUGAUUCGACGAAGAAGUAGCAAAGGUAGGCGCCUACAAUUUCAGAUGCAAUUUGCAAAUACAAUUUGCAGUACAGCAUUUUCUAUAAAUACCAGGCUUAUUUCUCAUUUGAAGUAGACCAAAAAGGAGAGUGAACGCAAUGAAGCAUAGAGAGAGUAAUUCAUAAAUUGUAAUAUCUGAGAUAAAUAGAGAGUGAACGUAAUAUCAUAGUGUGGUGUUUAAAAUAAAGAAUAUUAUUUUUUUUGAAGUUGUAAUAGUAUUUUAACACUACUGAUAAAUGAUAAUUUUGACUAUUUAUUAGUGCCUCUUUAUUUUCAUUUUAGUUCAAAAAUGUUUAAUUAUACUUUCGAAAACAGAGAAAAUAUGCUUGCUUGCAAAAGUAUUCGAAAAUGAGCCAUUACGAUGAAAUCCAACUCAAGAAAGACUGUUUUUGAACAAGGACAAAAAUGAAGCAACUAGGCUCAACUGCGGACCGCAGAAUUCUAUCUGCGACUGCAGAAUAUGAAGAAGAAUUAGUAGAGCUUCAAUAUUAAGUGUGAACCGCACAACAAUUGUGCAGUCGCAGAAGUCAAAGUUCAGAGAGUUCCAAAUUCAAGCCCAAUAAGAACUGCGGCCCGCAAAAAUCAAAUGUGCUGCCGCACCCAACAUUAUGCGGAUCGCAAAACACAAGAGAUGCGGCCGCAAUCCAGAAUUGUAUGUUCGUAGAAUCUACACAUGUCAAGAGUUAAAGAAAAGUGUGGACCGCACAUAGAAUUGUGCGGCCGCAUAACCUCCAAAAGGGCAAUUUUAAAAUUUUAGCUGUGUAUGAAUAGAAUUCUUUCACGAAAUUAUGUCAAGUUUUUGAGUAUUGCAUAUGUUGUAGCCGUUUUUCUUUACUUCUUUAGGAAACUUUAGCUUACUUUAGUGAUAUAACAUUGGAUUUUUUGUCUUUUACUUUCAGUAUGAGUUUAAUUAUCAUUUCUUCUCUAUUAUCUUCAUUACCCGUUAUGAGUAGCUAGAUUUUUAUCUAGGAUUAUGACCCAACCCUAGUGUCUAAACUGGGUAUUUAAUUUAUAGCUUGUAUAUGGUUAGGUGUUUGUUAUUUAGCCUUGUUCUUGCUUUUAAUUGUAAAAUUAAUGGUUGCAAAUAUUAGUUCAUGUCUAUUUGACUUGGUCUCUACUUGAGAUAGAGAGAUAUAGUCUAGGAAAACUUGGCUAACAAGAAUUAGGUAUGGAAUCAAGAGAUUGAUAGUCCCAAUUAAAGGGUUGAACCUAGAGGUAGUAAAAUUCGACUAGAGCAUUUUAUCAACUUGGUUCAAUACUCAUUUGGACUUGAGAAAGUAAAAUUUGGUAAAAUCACUCUCUUACCGAUAGGUAUUGAGUGGGUAAUUGAGCGUUGAUAGCUAUAAUAUACCCCCGACCAACAAAAUAAGAUUUAAAGUCUACAAUCCUAUUAGGGAAACACCUAGGUGAACGUCAUAACCCCAGGCCUUUUAUCUAGGAUUAUGACCCAACCCUAGUGUCUAAACCUAACGGGGAAUUUAAUUUAUAGCUUGUCUAUGGUUAGGUGUUUGUUAUUUUGCCUUGUUCUUGCUUUUAAUUGUAAAAUUAUUGGUUGCAAAUAUCAGUUCAUGUCUAUUUGACUUGGUCUCUACUUGAGAUAGAGAGACAUAGUCUAGGAAAACUUAGCUAACAAGAAUUAGUUAUGGAAUUAAGAGAUUGAUAGACCCAAUUAAAGGGUUGAACCUAGAGGUAGUAAAACUGACUAGAGCAUUUUAUCAACCGUUUGGUUCAAAGCCCAUUUGGACUUGAGAAAGUAAAAUUGGGUAAAAUCACUCUCUUACCGAUAGGUAUUGAGUGGAUAAUUGAGCGUUGAUAGCUAUAAUAUACCCCCGACCAUCAAAAUAAGAUUUAAAGUUUACAAUCUAUUAGGAAAAUACCUAGGUGAACGUCAUAACCCCAUGCUUUUUACAAUAUUUAAAAAACAACCAUUAAUAAUAUUUCCUAGUUUCAUACUUUUAGAAUUAAAUUCUUUAGCAUAAUUUUAUAAGUGAAACAAACCAUCUUUAUGAAAGUUCAAUCUAGAUACUUCAUGAGCCUAGUCUAGAUAUAUAUUACUUUAUCCUAUUUAUAUAGAUCCUUGUGAAAGUCGACCCCAACUCUUAGUUGGAUAUUACUAUUGCAUCGACCGUUUCAUAAUCUCGAAUAGAAGUGUGGCUUGGAUGAGAUCACUAUCAAGUUGUAAUAUUAUAAUGGUAUUAUAUUGCUCCCCUUGGGCAUUAUAUUUUACCCCGUUAAAAGAUCUGGUGACGUUGUUACUCUCUUGUAUUAUUGUAAUUUACGGUGGAUAUUAUUCCUGGGCAGGAUAUUAUUCCUGGGCAGGAUAUUAUUUUUUUUCCAAUAAUUUGGUAUCAGUGCCAUAGCUAAUAAUGGUCCUCUAUAUUUUCAAUACCUCCGUUUUAUAUAGAAAAUAAUAAGAAAUGGUAUCUACGUAUGAAAGUCAUUCUUGGCUCUCAGAAUGUGUGGGAAAUUAUAGAUACAGAGUAUGCAAAACCCGAUAAUAAGGAAGCUCUGCCUCAAAAUAAAAUAUAUGUUUUGACAAAGACAAGGAAGAAGGAUCAACAAGACCUCACACUCAUCCACCGAUAUUUGGAUAAUGCCAUGUUUAAGAAGGUGGCAGAUGCUACCACCUCAAAGGAAACUUGGGAGAUUUUAUAAAAUUCUCUUCAAGGAGUUGACAAGGUGAGGAAAGUAAAUUUUAAUCUCUAAGGGCUGAUUUUGAAGUUUUAAAAAUGAAAGAGUCCGAAUGCAUUUCAGAUUAUUGUUCAAAAAUGAAGGCUAUUGUGAAUCAAUUAAGAAGAUAUGGGGAGGACACAGAAGAUGUCCGUGCCAUAGAAAAGAUACUUUGCACAUUAACACUUAGACUCUAUGAUGGUAGAUUAAUGGUAGUCUCAUGGAAUUCGUCACCCUCUAACGGUACCUUAUUCACCCUACCAAAAUGGAGUUGCAAAGGGAAGGAAUCGACCGAUUCUUAAUAUGGUUAGAUGUAUUUUCAAAGCAAAAGUAUGCCCAAGAAAUUUUGGGUCGAAGCUGUUUCUUGUGCUGUUUAUUUGAACAACAGGUCUCCAAAAAGAAAUGUUAGAGAUCAAACCCCUCAACAAGUACGUAGUGGAAGAAAGCCAAUUGUUAAGCACUUGAGAAUCUUUGAGAGCAUAUUCUAUGCUCCUCUGCCACAGCAAGGGAGAGCAAAGCUUGACGAUAGAAGUGUCAAGCAUGUGUUUGUUGGCUAUGAUACGAGUUCAAAAGGCUACAAGAUAUACAAACCAAGCAUCGGCAAGGUGGUGGUGAGUCGUGAUAUUGAAUUUAAUGAAGAAUUGACUUGGAAUUGGGAGGGUCAAGAAGAAACUUCAUACAAUUUUCUUCAAUACUUUGGUGGUGAAGAAGAACUAGAGACCGUGGAACCUGUGCAGGAUGCAACUCCACCUCCUUCUCCAACCAAUGUUGCAUCUUCUUCUUCUCAACAAAGUUUAGAUAAACAACCGUAAAGGAUGAGAAAUAUUCAAGAGCUCUAUGAUGACAAAGAAGAAGUUACUAAUUUUGAUUUUUUAUAUUGUCUCUUUGGUGAUAGUAAACCAAUGAACUUUGAUGAGGCUGUUACAGACAAAAGGUGGAGACAAGCCAUGCAAGAGGAGAUCAUGUUAAUGGAUAAGAACAACACUUGGGAUCUAACAACACUUCCGAAGGGUCAUCGAGCAAUUGGAGUUAAAUGGGUAUACAAGAUUAAAAAAAUGCUAAUGGAGAUGUGGAGAAAUAUAAGGCACGAUUUGUGACUAAAGGCUACAAGCAAAUGCAAAACAUUGACUAUGAAGAAGUCUAUGCACCUAUUGUCCACACAGAGACUAUUCCUUUGUUGAUCUUUUUGGCGGCACAAAUGAAGUGGAAGAUCCAUCAACUACAUGUCAAGUUUCACAACCCUAAAACUGACCUGGUCGUGAUGGCACCUAUCAUGAAACUAGGCCAACUGACACAAACCUCAAUACCAACCAGAAAUUCAUAAUAAGUCGUUUAAAUCAAGUAAUUAGCUAAAACCCCAUAUUAUAAGUAAAAUGAACAGUGCUAAAACACAACACAGCCCGACAUCGGGGUGUCACCGAUCAUGAGCGACUAUAACUCAUCUAAGAAUAUAAAAAGACAACAUAGUCUAAAACAAAGCUAACACAAAGCUAAAUAAGAUAGGAAGGAGAAGCACCGGGCUGCUAACGCCAACCAACUACCUAGUCAACUCCGGAGACCUGCUGGGAGGCUGAUCAAUACUCGCUAUCGCGAACAGAGACUCCUGUAUAAUCAAACGGGGUGCGGAAAGUAAUGUGAGUACGCCAACUCAAAAAGUAAUAAAAGUAAAGGCAGCUGAGCAGUAAAAAACACAUAAACCAUAGCAUAAUGCUACAACAAAAUAGUAUAAGUCCAGAACAAUGCAGUAAAAUAAUAAAACAACGUAAAAACAUCUCAGUUUAGUAAAACCUUUUUCAAUUAUCUUUCAAUAGUUUCAAAAGAAUGAUGAAAACAGUGAGAAAAAGGAUAGAAACGUAAAUAGCCCAUUUGGUAAAACAUGCACCACAAUCGCCCCUUGAUCAAAAUAUCAACAUAACCAGCUCCUCGGGCUACCUCAUAAUCACUCGUAUUAGCCCCUAGGGUAAUAACAUAAAAUACCAACAGGCCAUCGGGCAAUAUCAUAUCUCACACUGGGUAUACGCGCUCACUAGGGGUACUCAGACUCCGGAGGGGCUUCUACAACCCAAGCACUAUUACAAGCCAUCUCAUGGCAUAACAAAUCAGGGCCUCAGCGUAUCAUAUAUCAUCAACCAGUAUGUAUGCUACGGUGCGCAUCCCGAUCCCAAAAUAUCUUCACAACACAGACCCUUGGCCUCACACAGCCAGAAAUCUCUCAAGCCCCCCGGGCAACAGUAAAACGUGAUGCUCAGCCCAAAAUAUUAUAUAAAAUGUCGAAAACGGAGUAAAUACGGAUGAGUUAUGAAAACAAAAGAAUACAAUACAAUUGAGUACAAUUACGAAGUCAAAAACAUUGAGGAAUAACAGUAAAAAGCCCAAAAGAGUCCAAAAAAUUGGCACGAGGCCCCAAAUAUGGAAUUUAGCCCAAACAAUGGUUAUAAUUUCCAAAACACAAUGAUAUCAAAUAGGAUUUAAUCAAAUACGCAACUUAACAGUCAUACGUGAUGGACCAAGUCACAUUCCCCAACGGUGUACGACCCCACGCUCGUCAUCUAGCAUGUGUGUCACCUCAAAGUAGCACAACAAUGUGAAAUCUGGGUUUUCAUACCCUGAGGACAACAUUUACAAUCAUUACUUACCUCAAUCCGGUCCAAACUCUAGCCCGCGAUGCCUUUUCCUCUCGACUCAGACUCUGGAUGCUCCAAAUCUAACUAAAAAUAGUACCAUACCAUCAAAAUAUGCCAAGGGAAUAAAGCCCACUCGAACAAUAACCAAUUUAAAACAAAAAAUGCCCAAAAUUAGCCAAACCCGACCCCAGCCCACGUCUUGGAUUCUGAUUAAAAAUCACAAAAUUGGAAUCUUUAUACUCUCACGAGUUCAUACAUAUCAAAUACAUCAAAAUACGACCACAAACGGCCCCUCAAAUCCCUAAAUCAAAGUCUCUAAUUUCAACCCCUAACUCCCCAGUUUUAGGUUUUAAAUCCCAUAAAUUUGUGUCUAAUUAGGUAAAAAUCACAGUAGGAUCGAGUAUUGAGUCAAAAAAUCUUACCUCCAAGUGUUUCCCUUUGAUUCCAUCUUCAAUCCUUCUCAAAUAGCUACUAAAUCUCUCAAAGAUGGUGGAAUAUAGACCAAAAAUUGCGAACAUGGCUAUUUAAGCACUCUGCCCAGAUGACAUUUCCUUCUUCGCGAACGCGGUUAAAGCCUAGCGUUCGCGAAGCAUAAAAACUCAUUGACCGAAAAAAUCCUCGUACGUGAAGGAAAAGCUUCCCAGACCAUCGUGAACGCGACACACUAACACGAACGUGAAGCACAAACGACUAGGGUCCCCAGCUGCUCCAAUUAUUCUAUGUGAACACGGGACUAACAUCGCAUUCGCGAUGCACACUCAGCCUAACCCUUCGCGAAAGCGGGACCAACUUUACGAAUGCGAAGGUCAAAUAUCUUGCCUCACUUCACAUCCCUUUGCGAACGUAACAUCCCACAUCCAUUCACGAACGUAACAUCCCUUCGCGAAUGCCAAAACUUUGCAACAGAAACAACAGAAAAUCUGCAACUUUCAAAACAAGGAUUUGAUCCGUUUAACCACCUAAAACGUAUCCGAUGCCCUCGAAACCUCAACCAAACAUGCCAAAACAUCCCAUAACAUCAUUAAAACUUGUUCCUACCUUCACAACGCCGAAAAAACAUCAAAUCAUCAUCAGAUUCAAGCCUAAGAAAUUCAAAACUUCUAAAUUUUUCUAUCGAUCAAAAAGUCUAUCAAACCUAGUCUGAAUGACCUGAAAUUUUGCACACGUUAUAAAUGGUACAAUGGAUCUACUCCAACUUCUGGAACUCCAUUCCGACCCCUAUAUCAAAAUUUCCACUAUCAACCGAAAAAUAAAUUCCAAUUUCACCAAUUCAAGCCUAAAUCUACCCUGGACCACCAAAACACAUUUCGAUCACGCUCCUAAGUCCCAGAUGACCUUCUGAAGCUAUUCGAAUCAUAAAAACCAAAUUCUUGGAUUGUUUACUCACAAGUCAACUUCCGGUUGACUUUUCCAACUAAAUGGCUAACUUAAGAGACUAAGUGUCUCGUUUCUCUAAGAACCCACUCCGUGCCCAAACUAACCAACACAAUAUGAUAAAAUAAAGUUGAACAACAGGUAAGGAAGCAGAAAUGGGGGAAAUGGAGCAGUAAUUCAUGACGGCCGGUUUGUUAAAUCCUCCCCCUCUUAAACAAAUGUUUGACCUCGAAUGGGUCAAAAAAACAUACUUGAAGUCUCAAUAAUAAGGAUAUCUGCUCCGCUCGAUAUCCCAGGUAGCCUCCUCCAUAGGUCGGCCUCUCCAUUGCACUUUCACUGAAGCUAUAUCUUUUGAUCUCAACUUUCGAACAUGAUGCUCCAAAAUAGCCACUGACUUCACAUCAUAAGUCAAAUCAUCAUCUAACUGAACCGUACCGAAAUCCAAAACAUGAGACGGAUCGCCAAUAUACUUCUAGAGCAUAGAAACAUGAAAUAUCGGAUGCACACUCGAUAAUAUGGGUGGCAAAGAAUCUUAUAAGCCACUUCCCAAUCCUCCAAGGCAUCUCAAAAGGCCCAAUGAACCGAGGGCUCAUUUACCCUUCUUCUCAAAUAUCAUAACUCCCUUCAUGAGUGAAACCUUCAAUAGAACCUUCUUACCAAAGAAGUAGGACACAUUAUGAACCUUUCUGUCAGCAAAACUCUUUUAUGUUGACUGCGCCAUACGAAGCCGCUCCUGAUUCACCUUCGCCUUGUCUAAAGCAUCAUGCACCAAGUGUGUCUCCAAAAGCCUAGCCUCAUCCGACUCAAACCAACCGACUGGACAUCUAUAUCAUUUCCCAUAUAAAGCCUUAUAUGGAGCCAUAUGAAUAUUUGACUGCUAACUGUUGUUAUAAGCAAACUCUGCGAGCGGUAGAAAUUGAUACUAUGACCCUCCAAAAUCAAUGACACAAGCGCACAACAUGUCCUCCAAUAUCUGAACAGUGCGCGGGAACUGCCCGUCCGUUUGAGGGUGAAAAGUUGUGCUUAACUCAAUCUGGGUACCUAACUGUCUCUGCACGGCUCUUCAAAACUGCAAAGUAACUAAGUACCUCUAUGUGAAUUGAUGGAAAUCGGGACAUCAUGCAAACGAAAAAUCUCCCGGAUAUAGAUCUCUACCAAUCAUUCUGAAAAAUAGGUAGUACACACAGGAAUGAAGUGUGCGGACUUAGUCAGCUGAUCCUCAAUCACCCAAAUAUCAUCGAACUUCUUCAAAGUCUGUGGGUGCACAACUGCAAAGUCCAUGGUGAUCGGGUCCCACUUCCACUCUAGAAUAUCCAUCUCCUAAAGCAAGCCACCCAGUAUCUGAUGCUCAUAUUUCACCUGCAGACAAUUGAGGCAACGAGUUACAUAUCCAUUAUGUCCUUCUUCAUUCUGCUCCACCAAUAAUGUUGUCUCAGAUCUUGAUAUAUCUUCGUGGCACCUAGAUGGAUGGAAUACGGCGAGCUAUGGGCCUCUUCUAGAAUCAACAUCCGAAGAACAUCUGCAUUGGGAAUGCAUAUCCGGCCCUACAUCCUCAAUACCCCAUCAUCACCAAUAGUCACAUCUCUGGCAUCGUCAUGCUAAACUAUGUCCUUAUGGACAGGAAAAUGAGGAUCAUCAUACUGGCGCUCUCUGAUGCAAUCAAAUAAGGAAGACCGAGAAAUCACGCAAGCCAACACCCAACUGGGCUCCAAAAUAUCCAAUCUCAUGAAUCGUUUGGCCAAGGCAUGAACAUCAACUGCAAGAGGUCUCUCCCCAACAGAAAUAUAUGCCAAACUCCCCAUACUCAUUGCCUUCCUACUCAAAGCAUCAGCCAGUAUGUUGGCCUUCCCAAGAUGGUACAAGAUAGUAAUAUCAUAGUCCUUUAGUAGCUCUAGCUAUAUAUGCUGCCUCAAAUUGAGAUCCUUCUGCUUGAACAAGUGUCGGAGGCUACAAUGAUCAGUAAACACCUCACAAGAUACGCCAUAAAGAUGAUGCCUCCAAAUCUUUAAUGCGUGAACAAUGGCAGCCACUCCAAAUCAUGAACGGAGUAGUUCUUCUCAUGGGGCUUCAAUUAUGAGAAGCAUAAGAAAUUACUCUACCCUCCUACAUCAACACACAUGCAAUGCCCACUCAGGAAGAAUCAUAAUACUCUGUAUAUGAACCUGAAGUUGAUGGCACAACUAAUACUGGAGUUGUGGUCAAGGCAAUCUUGAGCUUCUGAAAGCUUUCCUCUUAUUCAUCUGACCACCUGAAUGGAGCACCCUUUUGAGUCAAUUUGGUCAAGGGUAAUUAUAUAGAUGAAAAUCACUGAACGAAUGAAGGUAAUAACCCAAAAUUCCCAGAAAGCCGCGAAUCUCUGUGGCUGAGGACGAGUCUGGGCCAACUUUAAACCGUCUCUAUCUUCUUCGAAUCUACCUUAAUACCCUCACUGGACACUAUGUGCCCCAUGAAAGCCACUGAACUGAGCCAAAACUUACACUUGGAGAACUCUGUAUAAAACUUCUCCACCCUCAACCUGUACUACACAACUCUCAAGUGCUCCGCGUGCUCCUCCUGACUACGCGAGCAUACCAGAAUAUCAUUAAUGAAAACAAUCAGGAACUAGUCGAGAUAAGGCCGAAACACACUGUUCAUCAAAUGCAUAAACGUUGCUGGGGCAUUGGUCAGCCCAAAAUACAUUACAGGAACUCAUAAUGACCAUAUCAGAUCCUGAGAGCUGUCCUAAGAAUAUCUGAGUCCCUGAUCUUCAACUGGUGAUACUCUGAACGAAGAUCAAUCUUGGAGAACACUCUCGCUCCAUGAAGCUGGUCAAAUAAAUCAUCAAUACAAGGAAAAGGAUACUUGUUAUUGUUUGUAACUUUGUUCUAUUGCCUGUAAUCAAUGGACAUCAUCAUCUUGCUAUCCUUCUUCUUCACAAAUAGAACAGGCGCACCCCAAAGCGACACACUAGACUGAAUAAACCCCUUAUCAAGUAGCUCUUCAAGCUACUCCUUCAAACUCAUUCAACUCCACUGGUGCCAUACGAUACGAUGGAAUAGAAAUGGGCUGAGUGCCCGGCACAAGAUCAAUACCAAAUCAAUAUCCAUCUUCGGUGGCAUGCCCGCCAGGUCUAUAGGAAACACACCGGGAAAAUCCCUUGCUACAGGAACAUAAUCAAUACUAGGAGUGUCUGCACCGACAUCCCUCACAAAGGCUAAGUAUGAAAGACAACCUUUCCCAACCAUUCGCUGGGCCUUUAAAAGAAAAAUCACCGCACCGGGAAAAAUUAGCCGAACUUUGCCACUCAAUCCUUGGCACACCCGGCAUAGCCAACGUCACUAUCUUAGCAUGACAAAGUUUGUUAUGCCCCAACCUUGGGAGCCGCUCGCUGCUCAAUUGAGUGACCCUAACUGAGCAAGCCUUACCAAACACUACCUAACCAACUCAAUACGAAUAAGGGGCCCAUGCUCUCAUUUAUUCAUCAAAGGAAGAUAGUAUAUUCAACAUUUUUAGUUCAUUUUAGAUCACAACAUUAAACCGUAUAAAAGUUAGUUUCCAAGGUUCCCAUAUAUUUACAACUCAUAGGCAUAAGAUUAGAAUUACAACAUAGUUCGCACACCCAUCCGACAUCCACACAUGAACAACAUAUAUGUCUACGGAGCCUCUAAAGAUACAAAAGAUAAAUGUGACAACGCCAGCAAUAAGGCCUCGGCUAUACCUCAAAAGGGAAAGACCAAAAUAAAAGAGAUGUGCAAUUUUUUCCCUUGAAAGAGCAGGGGGCUCACCAAGAUCUUUGAGAAGAAAGGUGCUCCACUACACACGAUCGGCACUAUCCACUGUGUAGCCACCUACAUUCAUUUAAAAAAUGUAGCGGCCCCGCCAAAAAGGAAGAUAAAACUAUAAAAUAGUACUAGUACAUAUAACUAAACGCCAAAAUUCACAAAUAAAUUUCCUUGAGAUCAUGAUACAUUUUCGUAGAACCGGGGUGCACGGAAUACCUGGAUGUGUGAGCUUCUGCCAUAAUCCUUUCCCAAAGACCGUCAAUAUCAGGAACACAGGCGGUCUUGGUAAUGUAGGGUACCAUCACCCAUGACGAGGGAAAACGUUGUGGUCUUGUGUUUGUGAAUCCCCUCUUUCAAUUUUUCUAACAAUAGAUCAUUGAAUUGUUUUUCCUUCACCUCUACUAUAAGCGGUGAUUCAGCUCUAUUUUGUAUAACUACCGCUCUUUCAUUAGAGUUCGCAAGGUAAACUCCAAAACUACCCAACUGGUAGACCUCCCUGGCUAACGGCCUUUGAUAUGCCCCAAAAUGAGCCAAACUUCCCAUAGAUUUUGACUAAGUGCAUUUGCCACGACAUUAGUCAUUCCCGGGUGAUAGAGAAUAUCAAUGUCAUAGUCCUUGAGUAACUAUAGCAAUCGUUUUGCCUCAGAUUAAACUCUUUUUGCUUGAAAAUAUAUUGAAGGCUCUUAUUGUCCAUAAAUACAUGCACAUGAACGCCAUACAAAUAAUGCCGCCAAAUCUUCCGCGCAAACACCACCGAUGCCAGCUCUAAGUCAUGGGUUAGAUAGUUAUUCUCAUAAUUCUUGAGUUGCCUAGAAGCAUAGGCUAUAACCUUGCCAUGUUGCAUCAACACACACCCGAGCUCGAUUCUCUAAGCAUCGCAAUACACCACAAAUCCCUUUGUACCCUUUAGAAGGGCUAAUACCAGUGAUGUUGUCAAUCUAGACUUCAAUUCUUAUAAACUCUUUUCACAAGCAUCGAACCAUUGGAAUUUAACUACCUUCUGCGUCAACUUAGUCAAUGGAGAGGAAAGAGUAGAAAACCCUUCCAUAUGUCUCCUGUAGUACGCUGGCAAGCCUAAGAAACCGCAAAUCUCCGAUGGAGUGGUAGGCCUAGGCCAAUUCUUCACUGCUGCAAUCUUUUGAGGAUCAACCAUAAUUCCUUCCCUGGAGACGACAUGGCCCAAGAGCGCUACAGAUUUAUGCCAAAAUUAACAUUUCGAAAAUUUUGCAUAUAACUGAUGUUGAUGAAGAGUCUACAAAACUGCCCUAAUAUGGACAGCAUGGUCCUCCCGACUUCGGGAAUAUACCAGAAUGUCAUCAAUGAACACUAUCACAAAUGAGUCAAGAAAUGGCUUGAAGACUCGAUUCAUAAGAUCCAUGAAAGCUGUCCGCGCAUUUGUUAGCUCAAAAGACAUCACCAUGAAUUCAAAGUGCCCAUACCCAGUACUGAAGGCUGUUUUUGGAAUAUCCUGCUCCCUUAUCUUCAACUGGUGAUACCUGGACCACAAUUCAAUUUUUGAGAAACACGUAGCACUUUGCAAUUGAUCAAACAAGUCAUCUCUUCUUGGCAACGGAUAUUUGUUUUUGAUUGUGACUUUGUAGAGUUGCCGGUAGUCAAUACACAUCCACAGCGAUCCAUGUUUCUUUUAGACAAACAGGACUGGUAUGCCCCAUGGCGACACACUCGGCCAGAUAAAACCUUUUUCUAGAAAAUCCUUCAAUUGUCCCUUUAGCUCUUUCAAUUCGGGCGGUGCCAUUCAAUAAAGUGGAAUUGAUAUAAGCAGUGUGCCUGGCAUCACAUCGGUCCCAAAAUCAAUCUCCCUGGCUGGUUCAAUCCCCGGGAGCUCAUCUGGAUAGACAUCCGGAAAUUCAUUCAAAACAGGUACAGACUCAAGGCUAAGCGCCUCGACAUUGGUGUCAUUAACCCAAACUAGAUGAUAGAUACACCCCGUCUUGAUCAUCUUCGGGGACUUAAGGUAGGAAAUAAACCAAACUCUAAGCAUUACAUUAUCUCCCUUCCAUUCAAUGACGGGCUCAUCAGGGAAUUCAAGCCUAAUAGUUCUAGCCCGACAGUCAAGUUUGGCAAAGCAUGAAUAAAGCCAAUCCAUCUCCAUUAUUACAUCAAAGUCAAAAAUCUCUAACUCAACAAGAUCGGUUGUGGUAUUCCUAUCUCACACCGUGACAACACACCCUCUAUUGACUCGAGCAGCCAAAUAGGACUCACCAACCGGAGUAGAUAUAGAGAAUGGUUCAUGAAGCUGUUCUGGUUGUAUCCCGAAUUCCAUUGCAACAAAUGGGGUAACAUAGGAUAAGGUGGAGCCGGGGUCAAUAAGUGCAUAAACAUCAUGAGAUUUGACAGUCAGAAUACCUGUAACAACAUCUAGAGAAUCCUCUGCAGUUUGGCGGCCAUUCAUAAUAUAGAAUCGACUGGAACCUCUUCAACUCUACGCACCACAACUAGAUACACCACGCAAUGUAGGUGCUAGGGUACCUCGAGCUAAAGAGGGGGCUGAUGAUAUAGCAACUGCUAGACUGGAGGGCUGAGUUGUGCCCCUACCUGCUCCCUGGCGAGACACACAGAAAUGCCUCUAAAUAUGGCCCCUCAUCCCACAUCUAUAGCAUAUGGGUAACUCAAUUUAGCAAAUCCUUAAGUGUAUCUUCCCGCACCUGGGGCACAGGGACCUCUGCUGCUACUGGAAACUUUCUCCUGACCGACCCGGCUGGAGGGAUCCCCUGUUGCCCUGACUGGGCCUGAAAUUACUCAACUGCUGGUUGCUGGGCCUUGAUGGUGGUGCACUGGCUGAAAACUAUGCAACAGACUGGGAAGACGCUGAUGAUCCUCCCUUGAAAGUUGAUCUUUCCCCAACUAGUGACUCUCCCAUGUUGCCCGUAGAACGAGCCUUGAUGUUUCCUUCUUUUUCCAUUCUGUUCUUCAACUUACGAUUCUCUGUAGCCUGAGCAAAUGCUACCAUCUUCUCGUAGUUCAUGUCAGAAUUCAAUGCUGUUGUAGAAGCCUUAUUAAUAGUUAAAUGAUUGAUACCCUGAACAAACCGACGCACUCUAGCCUCCAUGGUGGGCAACAUAUGAAUGGCAUACUUGGACAAGCGAGCUAACUCCAUGUAGUACUCCCACACACUCCUGAUAUCUUGCCUCAGAUUUCAAACUCUGCUACCUGGGCUACCCUUGUCUCAGCAGGCAGGAAAUGAUCAAUGAAAGCAUCAACAAACUCGCUCCACCUCACCGGGGGGAACCCCUCCUCUCGAGAAUCCUCCCACAACUCAAACCGUGAAUAAGCUACCCCUUUCAAAUUGUAGGUAGCCAACUCUACUCCCUCUGUCUCAUUCACACGUAUCACUCCGAGGGUCUUGUGUAUCUCAUCAAUAAAAUCCUGAGGUGCUUCUUCUACAUUGGCACCCGUAAACACUUGAGGGUCUAACUGAAGAAAUUUGUUCACCCUGGAACUAGUAGAAUCCCCUUGCUGGCUGGAUGAAUUAGGCGCAUCAUUUGACCUCUGGGCCUGAGAGGCCACUAGCUGGGUCAAUAUCUGAAUAUCCCCCCUAAGAUCCCCAUCAAAAGUACCAGAACCAGAAGCUGGGGCUGGAGGCGGGACAUAUGUAUCAAUGGGAGGGAUAAUGGUAUCCUCUUUGGGUGUAGGAGCUAGGGUGGUCUGUUCUGGAAUAGAACGAUCCAACAGAGUAAUAGAAGGGCGACUACCCUCACCCGCAACAUCAAGCAACGAAUCACCAGCCACUCCUAGGGUGGCAUUGACGUCUUGUCCAAUUCACGCUUUCUUCUUCGGUGCCAUUUACUAAAAAUUAGAACAAUGCCUUGAUUAGAGAGGGAAUAGUUUCACCUCACGAUCCAGAAUAUCUAAGAAGGGUGUUAUUCCUAAAUGCCCAAGUAGCCUCCAAUUUAUAAAUAUGGUCAUCUACACACCGAUAAGAAGGUAUAUACUAGACACGGCUCUGAGACAUCCUAGGACACUUUAUAACCAUAGGCUCCGAUACAAGGUUUUCACGCCCCAACCUCGGGAGGAGCGACCGGCGCUCAAUCGAGUGACCCCAACUGAGCAAGCCUUACCAAACACUACCUACCCAACUCAAUACGAAUAAGGAGACCAUUCUCUCAUUUAUUCAACAAAGGAAGAUAGUGUAUUCAACAUUUUUAGUUCAUUUUAGAUCACAACAUUAAACCGUAGAGAAGUUAGUUUCCAAGGUUCCCAUAGAUUUACAUCUCAUAGGCAACAUAAGUUUAGAAUUACAACAUAGUUCGCACACCCAUCCGACACCUACACAUGACCCACAUAUAUGUCUAUGGAGCCUCUAAGGAUAUACAAGAUAAAUGUCACAAUGCCGGAAACAAGGCCCUGGCUAUACCUCAAAAGUGUAAGUCCAAAAUACUAGAGAUGUGAAAUGUUUCCCCUUGAAGGAGAAAGGGGCUCACAAAGAUAUUUGAGAAGAAAGGUUCUCCACUACACACGAUCGACACUAUCCGCUAUGGAGCCACCUACAUUCAGUUAAAAAAAAUGUAGCGCCCCGGAAAAAGGACGUUAGUACCAUGGAAUAGUACUAGUAUGUAUAACUAAACACCAUUUUACUAGAAAGAACUACCAAGAAAUGACAAGUGAAUCACAUGAGUAAAUCAAAUAUGCAAAUCACAUAAUCUUUCAUAUAAUUUCUAUAACUUAUUUUGGGGCAUUACUUUCAUACGUUCAUCAUUGUUCUCAAUACCAAAACUAUCUUGAGCGGAGUCCGAUCACGACCCGACCGGAUAUGUUGCCUUAUUGGAGGCAUAUAUCUCAAUCACUAUUUCAUUUUGCCUUACCCGAAAUUCAAUAUCAGCACAUUACCACCAUAUGUGCGGCAUGGUGUCCGAUCACAGCCCGAUCGGCUAGGCCGCCUUACCUCGAUGUGGUUUCUUUCUCAUUAAUCAUCUCACUUGAAUCAUUAUCUAUCAUGUAUCAAAUCAAUUCAUGGGCACUUUGGGCCACACUUAUCACAUCAUUUUCCAUUUUGGGUAUUCACCUUGCAAGUUGUGAUCACAUGCAUAUACGAAAGUAAUUCAAGUUUCAAGCACAUGUAUGUGUUAACAUAGUUAACAUGAAAAUUCUCAGUUUUGAUCUUUGGCUUAUAGUCUAAGCAUUUCAACACAUGAUUGUAUACUUUAUACUUUUUUAAAUAUCAAGAAUAGUACAUUACUUACAUUAAGGCACAUCCUUCAUGUAUACAUGUAUAUAAUUGCAAAUCAAUCAACGUGAAACAAUAAUCAGUAAACCAACCAAUUCAAAUUUUACCACACCUUCGCAAAUGCCAACGGAGCUCAAUUUCAUAUAAAAGGGGAUAUUAGCCAUACACACCUCAAUAUAGCUUUCCUCGCUCUUACAAAAUUCGUAACUCUUAGCACUUUGAUCUAUUGUAUAAGAAUUAAAAAUUGAAUCAAGAAUUAGAGACGUGGUUGAGAUUCUAGCUUGGUUUGAGCAUUUUAGAAAACACUAGAGGUGCACUGUGAUCUUAGGCCUUUUUGAGAGAAAUUUCUGUCAUUCUAUACCCCAAAUUGCCCUCUUUUUGGUCUACCACUUUCCAAUAUUCUACGGUGUGAUAUGCGUGCAAGAGAUUCAUUUUUUAUACCCAUGAAUUACUUCACUAAUGACCCCUUGUGGCUGAGUGUAGAAACAAGAGCUGAGGUGAAGAAGUCUUACCUCUUGGGAAGAAGAUUUAGGUGCCUUCAAUUGAUUACCUUCAAUGUUCUAACAAGAAUUUGUGAAUCAAUAAUGAUAGAAGUACUUCCCGUCUCUAAAGUCCUCUCUCUCUCUUCAAAUACAUCAUAAAAUAUUCUUAAAAUAAGCUACUAUACCGAGUAUAUCAAUAGGGGGUCGGGUUUAAAAUUUAGAAAAUUGGAGCUCCGAGUCGGAUAUGCGACCGCAUUUUCGAUCACAAAGUCAACAUGCAGCCCGCAGAAUGGACUGUAAAAUACUCCCAAAAGAACUGGACAUAUUGACUGAGUUUGUGGCAUAUUUGCAGACCACAUUCACGCUCUGCGGCCGCAAAGUGCACCGCAGAACUGACCUUCACAAAAUCCCAAGGAAAUGAUGCAACGAUUAUGCGGUCCAGAUAUAGAUUAUGUGAUCACAUAUUUGUCCACAUACUUGAACUUAAAUGACCAACACACUGACUUACUUUGCGGUAGAUUUGCAGUCCGCAUACCUGUUAUGCGACCGCAUUCUUGAUCGUAUUUUUGCACUUUUAUGGAAAACAUUAUUUCUUGACUUUUUAAUGCACUGUUCAAUCCAAAGGGUCUGAGCCGCGGCGUAUGAAUUUCUAACGCAUGCUCCUAACUUGGCACCACGGGAUUUGGUUUUGAGUGGAAAUUUUCACGGGGCUUAACACAAUCCAAUAUAGCCUGACACAGAGAAAGCCAAUCCAUGCCUAAUAUCAAAUCAAAGUCCACCAUACAAAGUAAUAAAAGGUCCACUCGGGUCUCCAGACCCCCACUAGUCAUCACACACGACCGGUACACACGGUCCACAAUGAUAGUAUCGCCAACCGGAGUAGAUACAUGAACAGAUGAAACAAGAGACUCACAUGGCAUAUCCAAGUAACGAGCAAAAUUUGAUGACACAUAUGAAAAAGCGGAACCAGGAUCAAAUUACAAAGAGGCAUCUCUAUGGAAAACUGAGACAAUACAUGUAAUCACAACAUCCGAAGCAAUAUCAUCAAGUCUAGCUAGGAGUGCAUAGAAACGGUCCUGACCACCACCCAAUCGACCUCCCCCUCUGGGGCGACACCUAGGUGAUCCUCCUCCGCCCCUAGCUAGGUGGGUGGGUGGUAAAGUAACUGGUGCUGAAGUCUAUGGCUGAAUCCUCUGCUGAGAUGAACCGCCAAGACAAUGAGGAUACUGCCUCCACAUGUGACCCAACUCUCCACAGUCAUAACAACUCCCUAGUGCUGGAGACGGGGACUAAAGGGAACCCCUAGCACCCGGAUGACUACUAAAUGAACCUGGCAUAGAAGAGCCAUGAGCUGAUGGAGCACAGGAUGAACUCUAGGCUGGAAGGGAACUGAGUGAUGAAUGGCCCUGAUGAGAAUUGUGAGUACCAUGACCAGAUGAUGCCCUACAAUAACUUGGGUGAGCUGACUGAGCAUGCCUAAAUGGAUGGCCUCUGUCGUUCUGAAACUGACCCCCAUGAGGAGUACCACUAAAUCCACCCUAACCGCGAGGCCUCUUAUCCUCCCUCUCAAUCCUCUCCUAAACACGAACCAUCUCAAUCAGUCGAGCUAUAUCAACAACCUCAUCAAAAGUAGCACCAGAUACUCUCUCUGGUCAUAAGCAACCGAAGCUAAAAAACGAGGCCAUCUAUAAACCUCAUGAUCCUCUCUCGUUCCGUGGGAACCGUACAGAGCGCAUGACGAGCCAACUCACAAAACCACAUAUCAUGUUGCGUAACAGAUCGAUCACCCUGUCAAAGCUACUUCAACUGCCUGUGCAACUCCUCUCGACUAGACUCAAGUAGAAACUUCUCUAGAAAGAGAACGGAGAACUACUCUCAAGGAAGGGGCGUUGCGUUAACUAGCCUACGCCUCUCGUAAGCCUGCUCAGGUGUGCGAGCAGCGGGAGUUUCAGGGCCUCCCCAGGACUGAGAAGUAGCUGCAAUAGUGGUAAUUGAGACCGCCUGAGCUAGGCUAGUGCACACUAAUAGAAUCUAGGCCAAGGCCUCCUGAAGGCCUAGAAUCACAAUAGGCACAGUCGGUGCCUGAGCUGGUGCUGCUGGAGCAUUUGCAAUCGGGACCUUAUCAUGAACUGGGGCGGCUGGUGGACCUGCAGGAGUUGCCCUAGCCAUUGUGCAAGAUACACCCUUGCCCCUACCACGGCCUUGACCACGUCCUCGGUCUCUAGUGGCCCCCGCUGGUGGUAAUGGUGAUCAUCCAUCCUAACCGGUAGCAUGUGUCCUUACCAUCUCUGAGAGAAUGGAAUAACAAAAGUUUAGUACUAGAAUAAACGGAUUCAUACGACAAAAAAUCAAGAAUAUAAAGUUUUUUUCUAAAAGGUUCUGCAGCCUCCCGAGGAUAAAUACAGACAUCUCCGUAUAGAUCUACGAGACUCUACUAAACCUUCUCAUGACUCGUGAGUCCUAUAUAACAUAGACUCUAAUACCAACUUGUCACGACCCUAAAACUAACCCUAACCGUGAUAGCACCUAUUGUGAAACUAGGCCAACCAACACAAACCCCAACACCAACAAGAAAUGCAUAAUAAGUCAUUUAAAGCCAUUAAUUAGGAAAAAUCCCAUAGUAUAAGUAAAAUGAAUAGUGCGAAAACACAACACAACCCGACAUUGGGCUGUCACCAGUCAAGAGCAAUUACAACUCAUCUAGGAAUAUGAAAAGACAACAUAGUCUGAAACAAAGCUAAUACAAAGCUGAAUAUGAUAGGAAGGAGAAACACUGGUUUUUGUGAACGCCAAAUAGCUACCUAGUCAACUCCGGAGACCUGAUGGGAAGCUGAUGAACACUCGCUAUCACGACCCGAGACUCCUGGAUCUGCACAUAGGGUGCAAAGACUAUUGUGAGUAUGCUAACUCAGUAAGUAAUAAAAGUUAAGUUAAUCGAGAAGUAAAAAAAUAUGUAAACCAUAGCAUAACGUUGGAGCAGUAUAGUAUAAGUCCAAAACAAGGUAGUAAAACAAUAAAACUCGUAAAAACAUCUUAGUUCAGUAAAACCUUUUUAAAACAUCUUUCAAUUGUUUCAAAAGAAUGAUGAAAAUGGUGAGAAAAAGGAUAGAAAUGUAAACAUCCCCUCAGGCAAAACAUGUAACACAACCACCCCUCAGGCAAAAUAUCCACUGAACUAGCCCCUCGAGCUAACUCACAAUAACUUGUAUUAGCCUCUCGGGCAAUAACAUGAACCAACAAUAGCCCCUCAGGCAAUAUCACAUCUCACACUAGGUACACACGCUCACUGGGGGUGUUCAGACUCCGAAUGGGCUCCUACAACGCAAGCUCUAUCAAAAGGCAUCUCGUCGCAUGAUGCCUUUGCCUCUCACGGCCUCUAGAUGCUCCAAACCUAACCAAACAUUACCAUACCAUCAAAUUAUGCUAAGGGAACAAAGCCCAAUUGAAAAUAACCAAUUUAUAUAAAAAAAAACCCAAAAUUGGCAAAACCCGACCCCCGUGCCCACGUCUCGGUUUUCGAUAAAAAGUACAAAACUGGAAUCCUUAGACUUUCACGAGUUCAUACAUAUCAAAUAUAUCAAAAUUCGACAAAUAAUGGCCCCUUAAAUCCUUAAAUCAGGCUCUCCAAUUUCAAGCCCUAACUCUCCAAUUUUAGGUUUUAAAUUCCAUAAAUUGCGUGUCUAAUUAGGUAGAAAUCACAAUAGGAUCGAGUAUUGAGUAAAAAAAUCUUACCUCCAAGUAUUUCCCUUUGAUUCCUUCUUCAAUCCUUCUUAAAAAUCUCCAAAAUCGCUCAAAAAUAGUGCGAUAGACCAAAAAUCGCGAACAUGGCUAUUUAAACAUUCUUCCCAAACCCAAAACCCACGCUCAAACGCUCUCUCCUCUCUCUACUUUCUCUCUCUAGAGAUCUCAUGUACGCCUAGGACAGCCAUGGCUGCUGCGAGAUCUCCCCAACCUUUGGUGGCUGUGGGAGAGAUAAUUCAAAACAAUCAAGAAGCAAUUCCUAAUCAUAAUACAAAGCAGUCUUAUACAGUAGUUGUCAAAACAAGCUGCCGCAAAAUCGACAAAAUUGGAAUUAUGUCCUGUUAAGUUUUUACAUGGAGAACCUACUGUGGAAUUCACCAUUGAAGAGGCAAAUGCAUUCACCAUGGAAGAAAGAUUACAUCAAGCUAUAAUUCUCAAAUUUUCGUAUGUGAAACCAGAUAUCCAGGAAUUACGACAACUAAUUCCAAAAUAGUUUGACGUCAAAGGUUAUUGCAGUGGAUAGCUUGAAUAUCGACACAUCAUGGUAAGGUUUAAUCUCUUUGAAUAUGUCGUUCAAGUUCUGUCAAGGUCUACUGGUUAUGUUAAGGAAAAAGGAGAUGAAUUCUUCUUUAGAUCAUUCCUAUGGACGAUGGGAUUUAAUCUACGAGAAGAAACCUCAAGGGCAGUCAUUUGGAUUUCCAUGCCUGAUCUUCCUGUAAAUUUAUUUGCAAAGAAAUCCUUAAUGUCCAUAGCCGCAACAGUAGGUAAGCCUUUAGCUGUGGACAAAGAGACACAAGACGAACGCGAUCAAGUACGGCUAGGGUUAACGUGUUGCUAGACCUACUGGAUAAACAUCCUAAGAAAGUUAGGAUUCAUAUUGUGGAUAAAACUUCUGGGAAAAUAGUGGAACAUUAUCAGAAGAUUGUGUAUGAUAAUCUUCCAAAAUAUUGUUCAUGUUGUGAACAUCGAAGGCAUAAUGAAAGAUCAUGUCGUUGGAGGCUUGAGAAUAGUAAGGAGGAUAUGUUUGAGAGGGACGAAGUAGAGGAUCUGGGCAGUGUUGAGAAAUUACAGGGGGGUCUAGGGAAUUUCUUAAUUCAAAGAGGGUUGUACAACUAAUUGCUGAAGCAGAACAACAACGAUCUGUAUAGGGCAGGUAGUGCAAACAGCAGGAGGAAAACAAAUGGCUAAUGUGAACAAUUAUAGAAUGGUGAAUCGUACGGAAGUUAUUGCUUGUAUAGUACAAAACCAAUCAGCUGGGAAGGUCAAUGAUGUGAAUAAGGCAGGAGAAACUCAAGGUGAAAUUGUAAGUAGUGUUGAUGGUGCAGCAGAUCAUAUAGCAGUAGCACAUCGAGCCAAUAAUGGUAUUUCUGUAGGUGAUGCCUCGGUGAUAGAUAAGGGUCCUCCUUUACCUACUCGUGAUGUUCCUACAAGAACAGCCUUAGCAAGGAUAGCUAAUGUUGUGAAUCCAAUAGUAGCAGCUUAUGAUGUUUUGGCUCUUAAUAAUAUAGUAUCUGGUGUUGUAACUGAUACAGGAUCAAAUGCUAUUAAUGUCCAAGCUGAUGUUAAUUCACAACAUAAUAAUGUAAUGGAAGCUAUAACAGGGGCAUUACAAGAUGAUACGAAUCAUGCUACAGAUUGUGCAAAACAGGUAGAUAAGACUGCUAGAGAUGUACUUUCUGUGGGAAAGGAUAAGAAAGAUGUGGGAAUGUUUCUUCAGGAGGAAAGGAUGGUAUUGAGGCUAAACUCGCUCAAUCACCAGCUGGAGGUGAAAAACAAAACCAUGCUACUACUGCUAAUUCCCAGAUUUCAAGAAAUCGAAAACUGGUCAAAAGGGCAUAAUUUUGGAGACUGGAACUGGGGAUAGAAUAAAUGAUGGAAGGAGUAAUAAUACGAGUAAAAAGGGUGAAGGGUGGAACUUGUUAACAUCAAGGAAAUCACCUACAAAGAGGGUGGUAUCACCAAAAAAACAGAAAAUAGUUUCUCGACGAAAUGCCAAUAGCAUAUUUCCAAUACAAACGAUUUUGAGUCUCUCGCAUCUGAUAAAGAUGGUGACCUGAUACUACACCUUCAAAUGAGGGAAUGAUGGUCAAGCAAAAAUAAGUCCACUCCCUAGCAGUGGAAAAGAAGCACAAGACCGUGAGAAUUUGGCUAUGGAUUUGGAUAUUCGACAGUAGGCUUCUAAGAAAAAUGGUGUGGUGGAGCUAAUGGGAAAGGCACACAGAUCUAAUGUUCCUACAAUUGCAUUUUUCCAGCCCUCACGUCGAACAAAUAAUCAAAGAGGCCCAGAAUGCAAUGAUGAUGCAUAUAAAUAUGGUUAAACAACCAAUGGUCACGUUGAACACCUUAGUUUAUGAAGUUCCAUCAUAGUCUUUGGAGUCCUGUGGUGAAUUUGGAGGUGAGCUGAUGUUGUCAUCUGGAAAUAACAAUAAAGUUAUUAAGGCAAAUAUUAUGGGGAUGGCAAUCAAACCUAAGCUAUAGGCAGACCAACGCGAAUAUGAUGAUGAGGAAGAUUAUGGUGAUGCGUAUGUUGGGAAUUCGAGUGAGGAUGAAUAUGAUAUAAGUUGGAUCACCAUCUUUAACAAAAAUUGGCAGCUCUACUAUGAUAAAAUCCAGCAGUAAACUUAAUGCAAAAGCACCAGUUUUUGUGCCUAAAUCUGGACCAAAUAGGCAUGGGCAACAGGAGCAUACUACAAACAUACAGCCUGUUAACUGUGUGGAGAAGCAAAAUGUAGUAGCACCAGCAGCAACUAAACAACAACAACAAAUUGCAAAGCUGUCAAAUGCUGCAAUAUAUGCUUCACAUGAUGAACAGUAGCAUCAAAAAAUAGAAGCAGCACUACCAAGUGCUAAUCAGCAAAAAGCAGCAGUUGGAAAUUUGGACAGUGCAGCAAUACUUUCCAAGAAAAUUGUUCCAGUUGAUACUACCAGCCAUAAUGCAGUAACACAUUCCUCUACUCUGCUGCAGCAGCAAACUAAUCAAAACGCUUAAGCUGUGAUUCAUCUUGAUGAUCGAAAAGAAACAGUAACAAUAAAGGAUGGACAGCAGCAAAUUGUGACAAUCAUUCCAGUUAUUUCAGUAGAGGAAAUGAAGCUUUUGGAUGAAAUGCUAAGUGCAAACCCAGUGAAUUCAUCAUAUAAUAUUGUUGGCAGCACUGCUCGUGCAAGUAGAAGUAGGAACAAAUUGCAAACUAAAGAAAAACCACAACACAAGGCAACAUUGGCUAAACCACAGGAGGGAAAAACUAUGGUGACACAAGAUUUUGAUCAAAACAUGCCAAAUCCGGUGAUUGUGAGCAGAGAUACAUAUGAAGAAGGUGAAGAAGAUGAUAUUUUAAAUCAAUGUCGGGCAGAGGCAACAAAAGAAGGUGAUUUAUCAUCAACGCAUAGUGUAAAAAGCAAGAAGUCUCGUACAAGGGAUAAAAGUUUGGACGGCAGGGUGAAUGAAGAUGCAAACGUAAGGCGACUUCAAAUGGGAGUUUCCAAAUAAAAACAAGCCAUCCAAACUACAUCUACGAAGUCCAAUCGUUCAAAGAAGAUAGCAUGAAGUUUGAAGACAUUUUAAAGAAGGUUGAAGAUGAAUACAAGCGGAUUCAAAUUGAAGAUUUCAGAACACUAGAAAAGAGAGAACAUUACUGUUAUUUCUACAUAUUUUCAUUCUACCAUCAUAUUAGCAUAGUUCUAUGUAAUAUCAUCACAGAGUAUGUUAUAAACUCUAUGAUGAUCAUAGAAUAUCUAGUUCUAGCUAAUUCUUUAUUUUUACAUACAUGUUAGUAGGUGAGGCUUUUUCUACGCAUCAAUAGAAUUAGUAAGGUACGGUUUAGCCCAAUAGUGUCUGCCCACGUCUUAUGCCUUUGGGAAAUCGCCCAAUCGGCUAUGAGAUUAUAUGCCCUCGUGAGACUUUGCUGACAGCUACACCAUGAUUCAUCUACAUGAGGCUGCCAUAAAGACAAUGUGAGGCGCAGAGGAGUAAUUAUAUAGCCAACGCCUAGAGACAACACUAUAGGUGCUAUUGUCCCCCUUAUUUCUACUGUUCCUAUGUGAUUCUUUUUUCUUUUAUUAUUAAUAAAACCAGCCAUAGGCACCUGUUUAGUAGGAGUGUUCAUCGGGCGGAUUGGGCGGCUUUUUACUCUUAACGGUUAUCGGCUUUUAAAUGUGUUCAUCCGUUAGUCACCCAAUAAGAUAUAGGGCGGAUUGGUAUCGGGUUAGCUCUUAUCGGGCGGUUACCGGGCGGUUUAUCGGUUUAAUACCUUAUGAGAGAAUUCCUAGUCUUCCAAACUUGCGAAAUCCUAAUUUGAGGUUUUACACAUGUAAAAGUUAAACACAUUAGUUAUCCAUUGGUUAUCAAGUUGGUUAACCACUUUUUUAGUGGAUAAUAUGGUUCUUUAUCCACCCGUUUUUAAAUAGUUCAUUAUCCAACCCAUUUUUAAUGAAUAAUAUGAGUGGAUAAACGAUUUUCUUUUAACUAUUUUGCUACCUCUAGCAUCGGCAAUCCAGGAAAGGGCGGCAUUGGAGGUGUAUUUAGAUAGUGACAGUAAUUAGAUUCUGGACUACAACAUGACAGUGUCCCAUGCAACCAAUAUUUACAUGGAGGGCUUAUAUAGCACUCAUGCAUGGGCCAAGUCUAGCGCUGCAAAAAAAUGUCAUGCCAUUAGUAAUUGAAACAGACCGCAAUGAUUUAAUCAACAUGCUCACUUACAAUUAUUGCCUUUAUCAAACUUGAUAAAUGAUUGCAGAUGGAUGCUAUGUUAUAUUUAGUUCCAAGUUAGGGGUAAUGGGUAUAGACAAAAGUCACUACUUACUGUCUCACCUCACUCAGUCAGAACAAACGGUGGAGGUGGUUUGUUUUUCUAAUUUACUUUUGUUAUACACUUAUACUUAUUCAUUUUUAAGGUUUUUAGUUUUUACAUUUAAUAUAUAUAAUUAUGUAAGUAAAAAUAAAUUAUAUAUAUAUAUAUAUAUAUUUUUAUAUUCUUAACGGGUUAACGGAUUAUCCGUUAAGAAAAUUGAAUAAUUCAUCCCCAAACCGAUAAGCCGUUAAUAAAAAAAUUUCAAUCCGUUUUCCGUCCAUUAAGCCAUUAAGCUGUUAUCAGUAAGUCAUUAAGGUUCGAUUCGAUUCGAUUUUCGAUUUCGGAUUGAUUUUGAACACACCUACUUGUAAUAAUAGCAAUUCCUUUUAUUAUUAAAUUCUAUCUUCCAUAUAUCAUUACCAAGAGAAAAUUAAGUAGAAAAAGUUCUCGGUAAGUGUCUAUCCAUUAGUCAAUAGAGAAAUACUACUAAGUAGUGGAUCCAAUUUCAUAUAUGAAAAGAAAAAUUGAAACUUUAUGUAUAUCAUGUCAAAUUUUAGAUCUGAAGUUUUGGUGCGUGUUUAAAAUGUUCGAGUAAGCUUUUCAAAUCUAAUUUUUUAUGUGUAUUUGAAUAUUCAUCAUUGUUGGGCUUGAAGUUCAAUUUUAUUUUUAAAGAUUUCUUGUUUGAUUCAAAGUGUGUGCUAUUAAAUAUUGUUUCUAGUACUAUUUGAAAGUUCAUAUUGAAAUUUAAUAGCAUAUGGAGCUGAUUUGAGGUGAUUGAGAUAGAAUUUUUCAACUGAAAAUCGCAUAAGAACAUAGCUACCCAAUAGUAUACAGCUACGGUAUACAAUAUAAUGUAGGAGUGUAAUCUAGUGGAUUUGCUCGAAAACAAAAAUAAAAAAAUCAUUCUACCCAUAUCCUUCUUCGUGAACGCAGUCAAAGCCUUGAGUUCGCAAAGCACAAAACUCAUUGGCCAAAAAAAUCCUCUUACGCGAAUGCGACCUUCUUAACGUGAAGGCGACAUCCUUAAUGCGAACGCAAAGCUUCAGCUUCCUAGACCAUAAUGAAUGUGACACACCAAUGCAAACGCGAAGCACAGACGACCAAGGCCCCCAGCUGCUCAAAUUAUUUUAUGCGAAUGUGGGACCACAUUGUGUUUGCGAUGCACACUCGGCCUCACCCUUCGCGAAGGCAAAGGGAAAAUAUCCUGACUCACUUCACAUACCUUCGCGAACGCAUGAGACCUCUCAUAAACAUGAAGGACAAAACUCUGCAAUAGAAAGAACAAAAAAUCUGCAACGUUGAAAACAAGGAUUUGAUCCAUUUAACCACCCAAAACUCACCUGAGGCCCUCAGAACCUCAACGAAACAUUCCAAAACAUAUAUAAUAUAAUUCAAACUUGUUCCAACCUUCAGAACGCUCAAAACUACAUCAAAACAUCAAAAUAUUAUCAAAUUCAAGCCGAAGAAAUUCCAAAACUUCCAAAUUUCGCGUUAGAUCAAAGAGUCUAUCAAACCUUGUCCAAAUAACCUGAUAUUUUGCACACACAUCACAAAUGAUACAAAGGAUAUACUCCAACUUUUGAAAUUCUAUUUCGACCGCUAUAUCAAUAUCCACUAUCAACUGAAAAUUGCCAAAAGUUCAAUUUUUCCAAUUCAAGCGUAAUUCUGCCCCAGACCUCCAAAUCACAUUCUCAUCACUCUCCUAAGUCCCAAAUCACCUCUCGAAGCUUUCCAAAUCGUAAAAACUAAAUUUUGGGAUUGUUUACUCACAGGUCAACUUUUGAUUGACUUUUCCAACUAAAAGGCCAACAUAAGAGGCUAAGUGUCUCCUUUCUGAACAAAACCACUCUGAACACAAACUAACCAGCACAAUGUAAUGAAAUACAACUGAACAACAUGUAAGGAAGCAGAAAUGGGGAAAACAACGCGGUAAUUCAUGAAGCGAUCGGCCGAAUCGUUACAUCAAGUCAGCCUUCUUGAAUGGCUUUCUUCAAGAAGAAGUCUAUGUUGAACAACCAUUGAGCUUCGUGGUCAAAAACCUUGAAGAUAAAGUAUUGAAGUUGAACAAAGCUUUAUAUGGAUUGAAGCAAUCCAUACGAGCAUGGAAUCAUUGCAUCGAUAAAUAUUUUCAAGACAAUAGGUUUUCUCGUUGUCUCCGUGAAUAUUUUCUUUACCUAAAAGUUCAUAUUAAUGGAGAUAUCGUGUUUGUUUGUCUUUAUGGUGAUGAUCUUAUUUUCACGGGUAACAACCCAAGUUUGUUUGAAGCUUUUAAGAAAGAUAUGUCCUGCAAGUUCGAGAUGACAGUUGUAGGGCUCAUGCCAUACUACUUGGGCCUAGAAGUGAAGUAUAUGGAGGAUGUAAUUUUUAUCUCUCAAGAAACAUAUAAAAAGAGAUAUUGAAAAAGUUCAACAUGCUCGAUUACGACCCCGUGAACACACCGAUGGAGAGUUGGACACUAUUGUUCAAGUUUGAUGAUGGAGAAAAAGUGGAUUCCACAUUUUUAAAAGUCUUGAGGGAAGUUUGAGGUAUUUGACUUGUACUAGGCAAGAUAUACUCUUUGUGAUUGGAGUAGUAAGUCGCUUCAUGGAAGCUCCUACCUCAACUCAUUUGAAAGUCUCUAGAAGAAUUCUUCACUACCUAAAAUGUACGAUUUACUUUGGGCUAUUUUGCUCUUCUUGUAGUGAUUUCAACCUCAUGGGAUAUUGUGAUAGUGAUUAUGUAGGAGAUGUUGCUGAUAGAAAAAGCACAACUACUUUUGUGUUUUCUAGGGGGAUUCUGUUAUUUCUUGGAGUUCAAAGAAAUAAUAAAUUGUAACUUUCUCGAUUUGUGAAGCUCAAUAUAUAGCGGCAACAUCCUGUAUGUGUCAUGCUAUUUGGCUAAGAAGAUUGUUGAAGGAGCAAAAUUUACCACAAAUUAAAUCUACAGAGAUUUAUAUUGACAACAAAUCUGCAUAGUCACUUGCGAAUAAUCCAGUGUGUCAUGAUCGAAGCAAGAAUAUUAAUACGAGGUAACACUUAAUUAGAUAAUGCAUUGCCAAGAAGGAAGUCGAGCUCAAAUAUGUAAAGUCUCAUGAUCAAGUUGCUGAUACUUUUACGAAACCUCUCAAGUUGAGGAUUUUAAGAGAUUGAGAUCAAGACUCGGAAUGAAAAAGAAAAAUUAAAAUUAAGGGGGAGAUUUGUGGGACCUGCCUAUAAAAUAAAAGAUAAAAAACUGAUUGGAUAAAGAAGCGAAAAGUUAGGCGCCUACAAUUUCAAAUGCAAUUUGCAAAUUCAAUUUGCAAUUGCAAGUUGCCAAAGCCGGUUAUGAGUGGAUGGAAACAAUGACAACAUUUCCUGUAAAUAGCAGGCUCGUUUCUCAUUUGAAGUACACUAAAAAUCAGAGUGAACGCAAUAGGGCGCAGAGAGAGUAAUCCAUAAAUUGUAGUCUAUGAGAUAAAUUGAGAGUGCGUGUAGUAUCAUAGUGUUUUAUUUAAAAUAAUGAGUUAUAUUUAUUUUGAAGUUGUAGUAGUCUCUUGACACUAUCAAUUUGUAAUAUUAUAGUUUCCACGACCCGGAUUUCCCACCGCCGGGAUCGUGAUGGCGUAUAUUUUUGAAACCUAGACAAGCCGACAAAUACAAUUUCUCACAUUAAUUAUUAACCAAAAAAGAAUUAAAUAAUAAGCUAAAGCCAAACAGAGAUAAGGUGCAGAAGUGUAAUAACAGUUUAACAAUUCUAAUACAUGACUACCUCUAAUGAUCUAGGGUCACAAUGCACGAACUUCUAAGAAAUUCUACAAAUAUUGGUUUAAAAGAAAUACAUCUGUUCUCAAAAUAGAAAGAGACAGGAAAAAACUAAAAUAGAGUUAAGGGGGAUUCCGGGGUUUGCAAACACCGAUAGACCUACCUUGGAUCUCCCGUGGACUGAAGGAAGCAACUUCAACUCUACUCACGCAGUCUGGUACCAAAAUCUGCAUAGAAAGUGCAGAGUAAAAUAUCAGCACGACCAACACCAUGUACUAUGAAAUGUCGAGCCUAACCUCGGCGAAGUAGUGAUGAGGCUAGGACACGACAACAAUACAAACGUGCAGUUAAAUCAUAUACGAGAAAUAAUAAUAACAAAUACUUAACAGAUAAAGACGGGAAUGGGAGGCAUGCUAAAAGAAUAUCAAAUUCUGAAAGUAAUAAAGUAAAGAAGCAAGGUAAAUAUCAAACUUUGAACCAACAAAAAUAAUAACACAAUAACACAUACACGGCAUCAUCUUUCGUGCUUUUACUCUUUUCCUCACCAUAAAAAUCAAAAAAAAUGGCAUGACAUCAUCCUUUGUGCAUUAACUCUCUCAUAAUCAUGGAAAGGCAUCACCCUUCGUACAUUAACACUCACAGAAAUAUGGCAUCGCAUCACCCUUCGUGCAUUAACACUCACUGAAUAUGGAACAACAUCACCCUUCUUGCAUUAACACUCUCUCACAAUAUCAUGCAUGGCAUCACCCUUCGUGAUUUACACUCUUCCUAACCCAAACAGUUGGAACAAUAACAUCACGGUAAGGGAAUCAUCUAUAGCCAAUCUUGUUUCAAUAGUUAAAUUCACAAUGUAAGUCUCUACUUGAGUCAAUACUCAACAAUUACCUAAUAACAACAAAAUAUAACCAAACUUGUUCAACGUGAAGAGUAACUAGCUUAAACAUGAACAACACAUGAUAAGAGACACAAAAGUUAGAAGUAUAAGACUCAUUUGCAUGCUAUGACCAACAACAACGUAUCAAUACUCGUCACCACACCUAUACGUCGUACUCAACAACUAAACACAUAGCAAUAAGACAACAACGCAUAUUUUCUCAAGCUAAGGUUAGACCAAAAUCUUACCUCAAUUCCAUGGCUAAAAGUCAAGAUUUAAUUACCGCUUUACCUCUCGGUUCCACUUCCAAUCCGCUUAUAUCUAAUCAUAAUUAACUUAAUAACAUCAAUAAAUGCUAAAGAACUCAAUUCCCAUGUUGAACUAUAGAUUUUCGAAUAUUUUCCCCAAAAAGUCAAAAAUUGACUCUAGGGGCGCUCGGCCAAAACUUGAAGUACCAACAAAAACCCAAUUACCCAUUCACCUACGAGACGAAAUGCAAUUGGUUUUGAAAUCCGGCCUUAAUUUGAGGUUUGAAUCGCCAAAUUUCAAAAUUCCUAAAUUCCGCCAAAAAACACCCAAUUUCCCAUGAGAAAACUCUAGAUUCUAUGAUGAAAUCUUGUAAAAAAGAUGAAAUAGAUUGGAAGAAAUAAGUUAAGAAUAAUUCACCUAUGAUUUGGGGAAGAACUGGCUCUAAGAAAAUCGCCUCAUGGAGUUUAGGUUUUAUAAAUUUGAAGAAUGAAUGAUAAAUCCCAUCCAAGACACUUUUUACUCCGCUGCAGAUGUCACAAAUUCGACCAGAGCUUUGCAAAUGCGAAGCUCGCAAGUGUGAAAAGGCUAUCGCAAUUCCCAACCAUGUGAAGCUCGUAAUUGUGAAGUCUGAUCUCGCAAUUGCGAAACCUGAUCUCGCAAUUGUGAGAUCAGAGGCCUGCAACAGCUGAAGCAUACCAACAAUAUUUUUCCUAAGUCCAAAACACCUCAUGGCCUAUCUAAAUUUCACUCGAGCCCUCAGAGCUCAAAACCAAAUAUGCACACAAGUCUAAAAAUAUCAUAGGACUUGCUCGUACGAUCAAAUUGCGAAAAUCACAUCUUAAACAAUGAAUUUAACAUUAAACUCAUGAAAUUCACAAGAUAGUUCAAAAUUUCUAUUUUCUCUACCAAGAGUCCGAAUUUCAUCAAAUCUCUUCCGUUUUUACCAAAUUUCAUAUAUAUGGUCUAUAUAGAAAGACGAACCUAUACCGUGUCCGAAACCAAAAUAGUGGUCUGAUACCAAUGAGAUCACACACUAUUCCAUUUCCAAAAAUCCUUAUAUUUUCCAGCAAACAAUUUUCUUCAAAAAUUUAUUUCUCGGGCUAGGGACCCCGGAAUUUGAUUCCGGGCAUACGCCCAAGUCCCAUAUUUUAAUACGGACCCUAUGGGAGUGUCAAAAUAUGGGUCCGGGUUCGUUUACCAAAAAUUUUGAUCAAAGUCAACUUUAAUCAAUUUUAAAGGGAAAUUUUAAUAUUUUUCUUAAAAUUCACAUAAAGGCUAUCCGGAGAUGCGCCUGAAAUUUUCAAGGCCUCGGAACCCGCAUUCGGAUUCUAAAACAAAAGGUGACCCUUUGGUUCAUCAUAUUCUCCACCUCUAAAAUAAACUUUCAUCCUCGAAUGGACAUGCAAAAGUACCUGAGUCGGUGAAAAGAUGGGGAUAUCGGCUCAGCAUAUCGGUCCCGGACUUCCAGGUAGCUGCCUUGGCAGGCUGACCUCUCCACUAAACAAGAACUAAAGGAUAACUCUUCGAUCUCAACUAAUGAACUUGACGGUUUAGUUUAGCUGCCGGCUCCUCCUUAUAGGUCAAACGUCUACCAUGUGGGACAGAUCGUCGUGAUACUUCCGAAGCAUGGACACAUGAAACACUGGAUGCACAGAUGAUAAACCUGACGGCAAUGCAAGUCUGUAAGCCACCUAACCUACUUGUUCAAUGAUCUCAAAAGGCCCGAUGGACCUAGGGCUUAGCGGUCCCUUCUUCCCAAAUCGCAUCAUGCCCUUCAUGGGUGAUACAUGAGGCAACACUCUCUCUCCGACCAUGAAUGCCACAUCAUGAACCUUAUGGUCGGCAUAAAUCUUUUGCCUUGACUGAGCUGUACGAAGCCUAUCCUGAAUAAUCUUAAGCUUAUCCAAUGCAUCAUGUACUAAAUAUGUACCCAACAACCGAGCCUCUCGCAGCUCAAACCAUCCAACCGGCGACUGACAUCGUCUACCAUAUAAUGCCUUAUAAGGAGGCAUCUGGAUGCUCGACUGAUAAAUGUUGUUGUAGACAAAUUUCGUUUACAUCAAGAACUGAUCCCACGAACCUCCAAAGUCAAUAACACAUGCUCGGAUCAUAUCCUCACAAAUGUGAAUAGUACGCUGAGAUUGUCCGUCCGUUUGAGGAUGAAAUGUUGUGCUCAACUCAACCUGCAUACCAAACUCACAUUGUACAACCCUCCAAAAAUGCGAGGUAAACUGCGUACCUCAAUUAAAAAUGAUAGACACGAGCACACCAUGGAAAUGAAAUAUCUCACAAAUAUAAAUCUCUGCCAACCACUCCGACGAAUAGGAAACUAUUACCGGAAUGAAAUGCAACGAUUAGUUAGCCUAUUCACAAUAACACAUACUGCGUCGAACUUCCUCUGAGUCCGUGGAAGUCCAACAACGAAGUCCAUAUUGAUACGCCCCCACUUCCACUAAGGAAUCUCAAUCUUCUGAAGCAAACCACUAGGUCUCUGAUGCUCGUACUUUACUUGCUGACAAUUCAAACACCGAGCUACAUAUAGAACAGUAUCCUUCUUAAUUCUCCUCCACCAAUAAUGCUUCCUCAAGUCCUGAUACUUCUGGGCAGCGCCCGGAUGAAUAGAAUACUAGGAACUAUGGGCCUCCUCUAGAAUCAACUCACAAAUUCCAUCCACAUUAGGCACACAAACAUGACCCUGCAUCCUUAAAACUUCAUCAACUCUAACUAAAACCUGCUUGGCAUCUCCGUGCCACAGUGUGUCCUUAAGGAUAAGAAAAUGAGGAUCGUCAUACUGCCGAUCUCUGAUACACUCAAUUAAUGAAUAUUGAGCGACUGCGCAAGCUAGAACACGCCUGGGCUCAGAAACAUCCAACCUCACGAACUGAAUGGCUAAAGCAUGAACAUCUAAAGCAAGCGGUCACUCACCGGCUGGAAUAUAUGGAAGGCUAUCCAUACUGGCUGACUUCCUACUCAAAGCAUCGACCACUACAUUAGCCUUUGCAGGAUGAUACAAGAUGGUGAUAUCAUAAUACUUCAAUAACUCCAACCACCUCCCCUGCCUCAAGUUUAGCUCCUUCUGUUUGAACAAGUAUUGCAAAAUCUUGUGAUCUGUGAACAGCUCAUAUGACGUGCCAUAUAAUAUCUUCAAAUCUUCAGCAUGUGAACAAUGGUUACUAGCUCCAAAUCAUGAGCUGGAUAAUUCUUCUCGUGGAUAUUCAACUGCCGUGAAGCAUAUGCAAUAACAUUGCCAUUCUGCAUCAACACUACACCAAUCCAUAUACAAGAUGUGUUAUAAUACAUUGUAUAUGGCCCAGAACAUAUGAGCAACACCAACACCGACACCAUAGUCAAAGCAAUCUCGAGCUUCUGAAAGUUCACCUCGUACUCGUCCGACCGCCUGAACGGGGCACCCUUCUGGGUAAAUCUGGUCAUCAAGGCUGCUAUGGAUGAAAACCCCUCCAUAAACCGAUGGUAGUAUCCUGCCAAACCCAAGAAACUCCAAAUCUCUAUAGCAGAUGUGGGUCUAGGCUAGUCCUUGACUGCCUCAAUCGUUUUAGGAUCCACCUGAAUGCCCUCUACUGAUACAACUUGAUUCAAGAACGCAACUGACUCAACCAAAAUUCGCAUUUUGACAACUUAUCAUAUAACUGGUUGUCCCUUAAGAGUCCAAAAAAUUACUCGAAGAUGUUUUUCAUGCUCCUCUCGACGGUCGGAGUAGAUCAAGAUAUCAUCAAUGAAAACAAUCACAAAGGAAUCUAGAUAGCGCUUGAACACUCGUUUCGUCAAAUCCAUGAAUGCUUCCGAGGCAUUUGUUAACCCAAAUGACAUCACUAGAAACUCAUAAUGACUAUGCCGAGUGCAAAAAUUUGUCUUAGACAUCGAAUGCCCUAAUCCUCAACUGAUGGUAGCCAGCCCUCAAAUUAAUCUUCGAAAAAACCUUGGCACCCUGAAGCUGAUCAAAUAAAUCAUCAAUCCUCAGCAAUGGAUACUUGUUCUUGAUGGUGACAUUAUUCAACUGGCGAUAGUUUAUGCACUUCAUCAUCGACCCAUCCUUCUUCUUAACAAACAACACCGGCGCACCCCAAGGCGAGACACUAGGUCUAAUAAAGCCCUUAUCAAGCAAAUCCUGGAAUUGUUCCUUAAAUUCCUUCAACUCUAGCGGGGCCAUGCGGUACGGCAGAAUAGAAAUGGGCUGAGUGCCCGAAGCUAAAUAAUGCAAAAGUAAAUAUCCCUAUUGGUGGCAUCCCCAGUUGUUCUGCAGCAAACACCUCGGGAAACUCAUGAAAAGGAACCUCUACACUGGAUUCGCGAACAUAAGCCAAACACACCUUCUCGACCCUACGCCGAGCCUUCGUAUAAGAAAUGAAUAUGCUGGUAGAAUGACCAGGAGUCCCUCUCCACUCUAAUCGACACAAUCUCGGCAAGGCUAAGGUCAGGGUCUUCGCGUGACAGUCCAAUAUGCCAUGAUAAGGUGGCAGCCAUCCAUCCCCAAGAUGAUAUCAAAAUUGACCAUAUUCAGAAGUAGGAGGUCUAUACGGAUCUCAAGACUCCCAACUAUAACCACACACAAGUGAUAGACAUGAUCUACAAUAAUAAAAUAACCCACCGAUAUGGACACAUAUACAGGAGCACUCAAAGAGUCAUGAGGCACAACCAAAUACGUAGCAAAUUAAGAUGACACAUAGAAGUACGUAGAUCCUGGAUCAAAUAGAACUGAAGCAUCACUAUUGAAAACUGAAAUCGUACCUAUGAUAACGGUAUUGGAUACCUUAGACUCAAGGCUGGCAGGGAAAGCAUAACAUCGGGGCUGGGCCCUACCACUCUAAACUACAUCCCGGGGACGACCUCCUGUUGGAUGGCCUCCACCUCUAGUGGCCUGACCUCCACCUCUAAUACUUCAACCUCCACCUCUAGGUGCCUGACCCCUAUCUCUAGCCGGAUGAGCGGACGGUGGAACACCCGGUGCCAGAGCCAUGGCAUAGGAAUCCUGAUGCUGAGAACUGCUCGAUGCUCGAGGGCAAAAUCUAGCAAUAUGUCUUGAAUCAUCACAAGUAUAACAAGGCCUCGACUCCUGGGACUACUGACCCUAAAAAUAACCCUGACGGCCUGACUAACCGCCCUAAAAACUCUGAAGUGGAGGUGUACUGAUAGGAGCUGGUGGUACAUUGUAGGGUAGCUGACCAGAAUACUGCAUAUGAGAACCACGUCCCCUUGAACCACCGCGAGAAGCCUGAAGUGCUGAAUGAAAUGGCCUGGGAGGAUAGCCCCUACCAAAUGGAUCCCUGCCUCCAAACGAGGCACCACUGAACCUACCAGAAUGACGAGGCCUCUUAUUAGAUCCCUAACCACUCUCCUGAUCUAGAACUGCCUCAACUCUUUGGGCCAUAUUGGCUGCAUCCUAAAAAGAAAUCUCAAUGCCCGUCUCCUUAGCCAUCUGCAAUCUGAUAGGCUAGCGGAGCCCCUCAAUGAACCUCCCGUCUCUCUCUCUCUCUCUCUCUCUCUCUCUUUCUCUCUCUCUCUCUCUCUCUCUGCGUGUGUGUGUGGGGGGAGUAUAAGAAGAGCAUGACAAACCAAAUCAAAAAAGUAGUCUCAUAUUGAGUUACAGUCAUAGAACCCUGCUGAAGAUGCUCGAACUGCCUGCGGUAGUCCUCUCUCUGAGUGACAGGAAGGAUCUUAAAAAAUAGUUGAGACAACUGGUCCCAAGUCAAGGCAGGCGACCCAACUAGUCUACUCAACACAAAAUCAUUACACCAUCUCUUGGCAUACCCUAUCAUCUGGAAUACAGCGAAGUCGACCCCAAUGGUCUCUACUAUCCCCAUGUUCCGCAACACCUCAUAGCAAUGGUCAAGAUAAACCCGAGGGUCCUUAGAAGUUGACCACUGUAAUAAACCAGGAAAAGCUUGGUGAACUUAUCCAACCUCAACAAAGCCUCAUAUGACAUAGAUGAUCAACCAACAGCCUGACCCGCAAUAACUAGACAAGCUAUUCCUAUUGGCUAAGCUGCUGGAUUCUGGAACUGGGGAGCCAUCUGCUCCAGAGUGCCAGUAGUAGGAGUCUGUGCUCCUCCCCCAGCCUCAGAUACGGCUAGUGCUACAGGAAGUAUGCCUUCCUGAGUGAAACUCUCCAUAAAGCCCACUUGACGGACUAAAGCAUCCUGAAGUACCGGGGUAGCGAUGAACCCCUCUGGAACCUCAGCUGGCCCUGCUGGAACGGUAUGAGCAGGAACCUCAUCCUCAAACUCUACCUGAGGCUCCACUGGUGAUGCUGGUGCUUGAGCUCUAGGUUGAGCCCUGCCCCUACCUCGGCCUCUAUCAUUGCCUCAGCCUCGUCCUUUAACCCUCGUAGGAGCUACCACUAGGGUCUCAAGCUAGUGAUCAGUGGAUGAAGCAGUACGUGUUUUCGCCAUCUGAGAAAGAACAGAGUAGAAGUUCAAUUAGCAUUGAGAAGUCAAAUUGAACGAUAAAGAAGAAUAAAUUUGAAGUUAUUCCUAAACUCUGUAGCCUCUGGGAGAUGAGCACAGACUUCUUCAUACCGAUCACUCGGAAUCUACCUAGCUUGUUCGUGAAUUAUGAAACCUAGGCAACCUAGUGCUCUAAUACAACCUUGUCACGACCCGAAUUUUCCACCGCCCGGAUCGUGAUGGCGCCUACUCUUGAAAGCUAGGAAACCUUAAAAAUACAGUUGUAUCAUAUUAAUUAUUAACAAGAAUAGAAUUAAACAGUAGUUUAAGCCAAACAAAGAUAAGGUGAGAAAGUGUUAUAAUAGCUCAAUAAUUUUAAUACAUGACUACCCCAAUGAUCUGGUGUCACAAUCCACCAACGCUAAGAAAUCCUUCAAAUAUUAAAUUAAAAACAAUACAUCUGUUCUCAAAAUAGAAAGAGACAAGAAAAACUAAAAUAGAGGAAGGGGAAAUUCAGGGUCUGCAAAACCUGGCAGAUCUACCUUAGGUCUCUCGUGGACUGAAAGAAGCAACCUCAACUCUACUCACGAGGUUCGGCACCGAAAUCUGCAUAGAAAGUGCAGAGCCCAGUAUUAGUACAACCAACCCCAUGUACUGGUAAGUGUCAAGCCUAACCUCGGCAAAGUAGUGAUAAGGCUAGGACAAGACAACUAUAAACAUAUGCAGUUAAAUCAUAUACGAGAAACAAUAAUAACAGAAAUUUAACAGAUAAAGACAGGAAAGGACAACAUGCUGAUGGAAUAUCAAAUUAUGGUAGUAAUAAAGUAAAGAGGCAUGGUAAAUAUUAAACUUCGAAUCAACAGAAAUAAAAAUAGUAACAUGUGCAGCAUCACCCUUCGUGCUUUUACUCUCGUUAUCACCAUAAAAAUUAACAGCAAUGGCACGGCAUCAUCCUUCGUACAUUAACUCUCUCAUAAUUAUGGUAUGACAUCACCCUUCAUGCAUUAGCACUCAUAGAAAUGUGGCAGGCAUCACCCUUCAUACAUUACACUCACUGAAUAUUGCACGGCAAGACCUUCUUGUAUUAACACUCUCUCACUAUAUCGUGCACAGCAUCACCCUUCGUGUUUUGCACUCUUCCUCACCCAAACAAUAGGACCAAUAACAUCCCCACAAGGGAAUCAACUACAACCAAUCUCGUUUCAACAGUUAAAUUCAUAAUGUAAGUCUCAACUUGAGUCAAUACUCAACAUUCACCCAAUAACAACAAAAUAUAACCAAACUUGUUCAACAUGAAGAGUAACCAGCAUAAGCAUGAACAAUACGUGAUAAGAGACACAUAGGCGAGAAGUAUAAGACUCAUUUGCAUGCUAUGACCCAACAACAACGUAUAGACACUCGUCACUACAUUUAUAUGUCGUACUCAACAACUAAACACGUAGCAAAUAAGUCAACAACGCAUAUUCUCUCAAGCUAAGGUUAGACCAAACACUUACCUCAAUUCCACAGUCAAAAAUCAUGCUUUAAUUACCGCUUUACCUUUCGAUUCCACUUCCAUUUCUCUUAUAUCUAGUCAUAAUUAACUUAAUAACAUCAAUAAAUGUUAAAAACUCAAUUCCCAUGUUUAAUUAUAGAUUUCCUGACAUUUUCCCAAAAAGUCAAAAAUCGACCCCGGGGCUCCUCGGUCAAAACCCAAAGUACGGACAAAAACCCGAUUACACAUUCACCUACGAGCCCAAAUAUGCUAUUGGUUUUGAAAUCUGACCUCAACUUGAAGUAUGAAUCCCCAAAUUUUGAAAUUCCUAAAUUCUGCCAAAAAACACCCAAAUUUCCAUGAUAAAAACUCUAGAUUCUAGGAUGAAAUGUUCUAAAAAGAUGAAAUAGAUUGGAAGAAAUAAGUUAAGAAUAAUUCGCCUAUGAUUUGAGGAAGAACUGGCUCAAGGAAAAUCGCCACUUGGAGUUUAGGUUUUGAAAAUUUGAAGAAUGAAUGAAAAAUCCGUCCAAGACCUUUUUUACUCAGCUGCAGAUGUUGCAAUUGUGAAUAGAAUGCGAAACUCGCAAUAGCGAAAGGUCUAUCUUAAUUGUAAAUAAAAAUCCAUGCUGCCUUCGCAAAUGUGGAGAAAGUGUCGCAUUUACGACCACAGACCUCACAAUUUUGAUCAAAUGAUCGCAUUUGCGAUAUUUUCCCUUCCCAGACUCCCUUUGCAUUUGCGAAGGUUUGUUUGAAUUUGCACACUAUGUUAGCCCAGCCUUUUGAUCGCAUUUGCAAUGAAAGGCUCGCAAUUUUCAAACCUGUGAAGCUCGUAAUUGCGGAAGCUUAAUCUCCCAAUUGCGAGAUCAGAGGCUUGCAACAACUGAAGCAUACCACCAAUAUUUUUUCUAAGUCCAAAACAAUUCGUGGCCUUUUCAAAGCUCACCGGAGUCCUCGGAGCUCCAAACCAAACAUGUGAAGAAGUCUAAAAACAUCAUACGCACUUGCUCGUGCAAUCAAAUUGCCAAAAUAACAUCUUAAAUAAAACAUUUAACACCAAAACUCAUGAAAUGCACAAGAUAGUUCAAAAAUUUUAUUUUCUUAACCAAGGGUCCAAAUUUCAUCAAAUCUCUUCUGUUUUUUACUAAAUUUCACAGAUAAGGUCUAAAUACUAUAACAGACUUGCACCGAGGUCCGGAGCCAAAAUACGGACCAUAUACCAAUGAGAUCACACACUAUUCCAUCUCUAAAAAAAUUUAUAUUUUCCAGCAAAUAAUUUUCUUCAAAAAUUUAUUUCUCAGGCUAGGGACCUCGGAAUUUGAUUACGGGCAUACACCCAAGUCCCAUAUUUUACUACGGACCCUACAAGACCGUCAAAUCACGAGUCCGGGCCUGUUUACUAAAAACGUUAAUCAAUUGUAAAGGCAAGUUUCAAUAUUUUUCUUAAAUUUCACGUAAAGGCUUUCCGGAGACACGCCCAAACUGCUCACGCAAAUCGAAAAAAAGGUUUUUAAGGCCUUGAAACACGGAUUCAGAUUCUAAGACAAAAUAUGGCCCUUUGGGUCAUCACAAAUAGUAGUAUGGUUUUAUAUUGCUCCGCUCGAGUAUUAUAUUUUACCUCGUUAAAAGAUUUGGUAUCACUGUUAAUUUCUUGUAUUAUUAUUAUUUUUACCAUGAAUAUUAUUCUUGGCCAGGAUAUUAUUUUUCCCAACACUGGAAACAACCAUCCAAACAGGGGGGUAUAUGUAGAUUAUUUCUUCUUCUUUUUUUUCCCCAAAGAAGCUGAUCUAUUUUAAUUUAUUUAGAAUAUCCAAGAAGCAUAUGCUAGCAAAUGGAUCACUACUCACUAGCUAGUUGCUGAUAAUUAAUGUGAUUGAACUUACCUAAUGUGUUGUUAUCCUGUGCUUUAUUUUAAAUACUUAUUUUUGUUGAUUAACUUCCCUUCCUUCUCUUAUUAUGAUGUUAGUAGUAUUUUUUAAGUAUAUAGGAUUAAAAAAUAGGAUUAUAGGAUUAAUUUGUCCAGUACUGUUAGCUAUUAUUGUUUUAUACUGAAACAGCUUUCAGCUUCCAACAACUACUAAUUUUAUAUAAAGCAAAAAAAUAUAAACAAACUCCGUGGGGGUUGAGUAGCUUACCAAAUACAAAUAAAAAUUUCACCAUUAAUAUCUGCACAUUAUUAGUAGUAUUUAAAACUCUUAACACCUUCAUAUCAAUGGAUAAUUAUUGAAGUUUUCUCCAAUAUUUUAAUUCAACUUACUGCUACUUAACAAUGUUGACCCUUGUGUUAUUAUCCUCAAUUCUUCACGCAUGAACAAUAACUCAACAAUAUGGCAUCCCUUUUCUCUUGUUUUUUUUGUGGCGAAGGCUUUGGAAAGGAUCGCAGUAUAAGGAGAGAUUGGAGCUUUCCCCAUUCUCCUCCUUUGGACCCAGAUUUAUCUGACGUUGAAGAAGAUGAUAAAUAUAUGUACCCGCAAAAGAUUGCUCUAGGAGGAUCUGCUCCUUUAGCUGCAACUACAGCUACUGUUGUCUAUACAAAUGCUGACGAUGAUAUUGGAUACAGUAGUGAUGGAGGUGGUGGUGAGAAUAACCCCGUUAAUGGUAGUGAUAACGGGGGUAAUAGUACUCCUCCAACAGGUGGUUACGGUGAUGGUGGCUAUGAAUAUGCCGAUGGUGGAUACGGUAGUGAUGGUGGAUAUGCUAGUGGUGACGGAGGAGAAGAAGGUGGCGGCGACCGCAACUAUGGCGGAGAGGAUGACUGUAGCUACGGCGGCGGUGGAUACGAGAGUGCAUGAAAAGCAACACAUGCAUGCGAUCGAUCAGUUUAUCCUUCCAGUUUGUGUGCAAUAUUAUUUUUCAUCGUUAAACUUUUUUUAUUUUUAUUUUACUUUAAUUUAUAUGUAUUAAAGAUUGAGAAAGCUUGUCCUAGCAUGCAUGCCCAUUCUUGUAGGAUCCUUUAUCUUCUUAUUUUGUUGUUUAGUUUGUGA